UGGCAUUAGAAUCGGAGCUGCGCCAGCCCCCGGGCUCUCAGGCAUACCAGGCUCUGGCAGGAGCAUUUCUUUCCAGGCCCCAGUGCCCUUGUUCUUAUCCUGCUAUUGGGCCUUUUAUAAGUGGACAGGGAAGAGGUGGCCAAACUCCUCAGACGUCUGUUUAGAUUGGAGUGACAGCAAAUGACCCAGCAGGAGGGGACUUUGAAGAUCAUGUGAUCCAGACUCUUCCUUUUAUGGAUGAAGGCACUGGGAGUCUGGAAGCAAAAUCUUGACUCAAAUGUUCACCAACAAGGACAGACCUGGGCUCUUUCGAAGACACAGGCGGGAUAACUCUGUGAGGGGUUGGUUGUUAGCACUCGACCUUGAAAAGAGUUGGCUGGGGAUUUGGAGAACCUUGGAAGGGCAGUGGAGGAGAAGAUCAGAGAAAUUUUUAAAAGUCACUCUGCUUAAAUGUCUAUCUGUUUCAUCCCUGGGCGGGGCUGGUCUGAGACAGCCACAUCAGCCAGUGGCAGAGACAGAGGACUCCAGGAAAAUAGCCCCUGGAAUUCAAAGAGCUGUAUUUCCAUCCCAGUUCUGCCACCUCCUUGCUGUGCGACUUUGGGUCAGGGGCUUGAUUGUCUGAGUGUUAAUUUCCUCCUCAACUGCGUGGAGAUAAUAAAGCCGUUGCCAACUGGCCUCAAAGGGUGGCUGGGGAGAAAAAAAUGAAAGACAAGAUGUGCAGGCAAUUUGAAAAUUGCCCCAUAUUAUGUAAAUAAUUAUUUGGGGCCUGGACAGAGUUCAAUUCCAUGGAGCUCUUUUAUUAUUACAGAAGGGAAUUUUUGGAUUCCCACGUGAUAGGCAAUGAGUUAGGCAAUUUCACCCGUUAUCUCAUUGAAUAUGUGCAACGAUCCUGCAUCUUUCUGUCUUGGUGACUUGGAAAAACCAGAUGUUUUUCUGCCCUGUGCUGGGCAGUACUCUCUGUCCUUGAGAAUUUUGUCAAGGGGGUUGUUACAUUUGAGAUUCCAGCGGAGUGUGGCUGAUGAGUGUGUUACCCUGAGAUGAUCACCUCAUAAAACAAGAACUGAUUGGAUAGAGGACCUAAUGUGCUCUUCAACAUGCAGUUGGUUUCACAUCCUAUUAAAUUUCCAAACCCUCCUAAAUAAGGGACUCAUGCACCCUGACCCUUCCUCUCCACCCCUCCCGCACCCACAUUCACUGAACAAUAGAUCGUCAGACGUUUCCUCUCUUCCCUGAGCACACACACCUUCCAUCUGAAUCAGGAGGAACACUUGAGAAUUCCAGGAAUGCAUUUAAUCACUUAAAAUUGAUGGGUGCCAUCUGUCUCUGAGGAAUUGAUACAAGAGCUGGGGAUUAUAGUGUGUGUUCUCGUGGAAGCAUGUUGCCAAAAAGACGACUCCUUUUGGGCUCAGGUUUGGUUUCAAAUCCAGGCUUUUAACAUUUUUUGUCUAAAUUGAUCUUGCAUAACUGUGUUGGAAAGUGUUCUCUCUUCUUUCUUUGCCUAUUGCUAGCUUGUUUGUUUGUUUAUUUAUUUAAACAGAAGAACGCCCCAUUUAAAAUUCAUCUUUUUUGAAUUCUAAAAACAGAAUUAGUUCUGCUUAAUUUUCAAGUAACAGGACUGUCAUUCCACAAAUCUUUAUGGAGCUCUUUCUAUGUGUCAGCCACUGUGCUGGGUACUGGGAUACCAGAUUCAAGGGUGGAUAUCCAGCCAUCCUUUUGUCCAUCCAUUCAUUCACUCAACAAGUGUUUACUGAGCACCUCCUGUGGGUAUCAGACACUGCCCUACGGGAAGGGGGCACAGAGUUGAACAAGACAGAAAUGAUCCCUGCUUUCACAGAUCUUACAGUCUUCCGGCAGCAUUAAAACAUGGGCUGUGCCCUCCAGAAGCUCACAACUUGGUGAGAAAGGCACAUCCACAACACCUGCAAACCAGUGUGUGAGGACUUCAGCACCAUUGUGUAGCAGAGUGCUCUAAAGUGUCCAAGGGAGGACGGGAAUGAUACUAAGGAAGGCUGGGUACAAGCUCUGGAGGCCUGAGACCUGAGUUUGAAUCGCAGCUCUGCCUCUGGUAGCUCUGUGACCUUGGCCUCCCCUUGUCUUGUGUGUCCUCUUUUGUGAAAUGGGGGUAGCAAUGGUAUCUACCCCAGGGCUGUGAAGCCUCAAUGAGGCACUGUUUGUAAAGCACUUAGCGCAGUGCUUGGUGGCUGCUCUUCUUCUUGCUCUUCUCCUCCUCCUCCUCCUUCUCCUCCUCCUCCUCCUCCUCCUCCUUCUCCUCCUCCUUCUCCUCCUCCUCCUCCUCCUCCUUCUCCUCCUCCUCCUCCUUCUCCUCCUCCUCCUCCUUCUCCUCCUCCUCCUCCUCCUUCUCCUCCUCCUCCUCCUCCUUCUCUUUUUUCCUCUUCUUCUUUUCUCUUCUUCUUUCUUCCUUCUUCUUCUACCUUCAGAGUCCAUUCUGGAUGAGUUCCUAGGAAGGUGAAGAUUCCAUUGGGUCCAAGAUGUGGUGAGCUGGUGAAAUGGAUCCAGCUGGUCUUGCUGCCAUCCUGGUCUAGCAGGGCAGUUCCUCGUGAGAGAAAGAGCAUGGGGCUCAGGCCGGGCUCUGCUUGUUGGCCUAGAUUGGCGUUUCUCAAAGUGUGGUCUGCAUGGAUAAUGUUUAGGUGGUGCAGAGGCAAACAGCGCACAAUGUUAAGAGCUACCAUAUUUUUAUGUGUAUUACAAAGAUACCAUCUUUCCAUUUAUGGUGGUUCUAUAAUGCUUCCCUUAAAAGUAAAAUUAUAUAAGUUAAAAAACUUGACUUGAUUUAAAGGAGAAUCUUAAGGACUAGAGAGGAGCAUGUGAACAUAGUAAAACCAUGAGCAGUAUUUGUGGAGGUUUGGGGAGUGCUGGCCUAGAAUGAGGUUCCUAAUGGUACCAGUUCUCCAGUUCUUUGUCUGUAAAUGGAAGUGACAACAUUACCUCCCAGGGGAGUAGAGGAUGACAUGAGAGAAUGCGUGUCAAGGGCCCUGCACGGUGCUUUGCAUGCAUGCCCACUUUACCUGAAGAUGCUCUGUCCCCACCUCACUCAGGAUUACAUUACUCUCUCUGAUUGUCUCCAUUGCCUGUGUCACUGUCUAAAAUUAUCUUGUUCACAAUCCUCUUCCAUAAUUCUGAAUUCCAAAUGCCCUGAAAACGGAACGUUAAAAAAAAUAGGUUUGGCACUCAUCAGUUUAUUUUUGACAUAAAUUUGCAGUUUUUGUAGGAAAAUCUGACCUAAACUGAUGUGAAACUAUCUUAUCCCCCUUAGUGUAAGUAUUGAUAUGUGUGGCUGCAGAACUCUUCGUGUGUUUGACUAGGAAGUGCUGACCCAGACUCUAUGGGGUAUAAUGCAUUAUAUGAAAUUUGAACGCAUGACUUCUCUGAAAUGUGAAAAAUUCUCUAUCCCCAGAAACAUCUGGUGGCAAAGGUUUCAGAUAAGGGAUUGCAGACCAAUCCUCUAGUUGUUUCCUGACCAUGAACAUGAGCUCCUCAAGGGUAGGAACCUCAUUUGUUUUAUUUAAUGCUGUACCCCCAGGCCUCGCCCAGAGAUUGGCACUUGGUGGGCAUUUAGUACCUGUGAGUGAAGCCAUUGAGUGGGUCUCCCUGUGGACCACCACGGCCUGGCUCUGCUGAGGGGGGUUCUGGCAGUUCAGCAAGGACAACUUUUGGCUGGCUGUCCCCUUGUGUUGGUAGGUAGCCGUCUAUUUUGACUAUGUCAGGGGCCAGCCUGAGACCUCUGGAACCAGGUAUGUCUCAGAGCUUUGCUCUAAGAGUCAUUAGGUUUACUUGGGAUGGUUCAGACUAGACAAAGCUAUCCAGAGAGGCCUUUCAAACCCAGUCCCCUGUGGCCUCGUAGGCUUCCAGAAUCUGGUGGCAGAUUCAAUGCCUGUGAAGCUAUUUGAACUAUGGGGAAAGCCUACAAGUCCCCACUCCGCUUCCUGACCCACCAGUGUAGCCCCCACGUCUCUGGACUGAUGUCUCCCAAAGCCUUGUGAUGACAUUUAUUCCCCUGACUGCCUCCCUGCCCAACUUCCUCAGACAGCACUGGGUCCUGCACUCCUUUUGGCAUCACAGAGCAUAUUGCAUGUAGCAGGGGUCUGAGAAAUAUUUAUUGAACGACUGGAUGGAUGAAUGAAUGAAAGAAAGGAUGAAUUGCAUCCUUCUUGACAUUUGACCCUCUCCCUUUUUCCUGGCAUGGUGCAAACCCCAUCUUCACCUCUGAGGGGCUGGCAUGUGUAUUUUGUUUUGCAAUAUACUCAACUAUCGUUCUUGGUUUUCCAGGCUCUGGCUGCCGCUUGGAGACGCUUCUUCUAAGCUGCAUCCUCAUCUUCACUUUCAUCUUCAUCAAGCAUCGCGUGAUCGCUUCCUAAGAGGGAUCCAGAAGACCGUCUGAGGCUCACUGAAUGCAGUUCCCCUCUUAGAAGACCCAGAAAACAUCACACCACACUCGGAGUGUAGAAAGCAUGUGACGCCAAGGAAUCGAAGCCAGGUGGACAGGCUGAGCAUUGGAUGAAGUGAGAGCAGCCCUUAGGUUGAGCAAGGAGAGCACUGAGGAGCUGUGUUAUGUGUGCAGUGGAGUUUUCCAGAGGCUACAUGACACGCGACACACAAGGGACUGAAUGCAGAAGGGAAUAGGAGAAUCCAGCUGUCUUCUAUUAAGCCAGACAUUAAACAGAUCUGCAGAAAUGUCAAACAAUGCCAC
ensembl:lncRNA